GGCGCGGUGGGGCAGUGGGUAGCCCUGUUACCUCACACUAAGGAGAUAGUGGGUUCGAAUCCUGCCUGGGGCC